ensembl:lncRNA ZFAT-AS1 ZFAT antisense RNA 1
GAGACCUACCAAGAACCAUGUGGUUGCUGUUAAUGACCAACUACAACAAAAUGGGCAACCCCAGGCAGUGGUGAGAAUGUGGGCUUGAAUUCUGUCUCUGUCCCUUACCAAUGGCACAACCAUGAGCAAGUUACCAAACGACUCUGUAAUGCCAGGCCCCUAAUCUGCCCAGUGGAGGAAAUACUCCAACUCCUAGAAGUAAUAUGAGAAUUAAGACUGCACAAGGAGCUGACCCACAGGAUAAAGACAGCAGCUGUUCCUUCCCUUUCCCCCAACAUGUAUUUCCCCAGAUGCCAUCCUACAUGUUCACAUUGAAGAGAUAAGCCUCUCAGAAGGAAGAUAACCAUAGAAAGUUGAAAAGAGAAACCUCUUUAGAUGCUGGUUUAUUAAGAAGAAUGAAGGCAGAUGUGACUGGGGCCAAAGAUCUCAGUGCACAUUCCUGACACUCCCCCACUGAUCAUGAGGCCCAAGGAUGUGGCCAGGAGGCCGAGCAUCAGCAGCUGGGAGACUCUUGCUGUGAAAGGAACCUGGGAAGCCUCUGCCACGUGCACAGCUGUGUAAGGAGAAGGAUCUCUCUAUGUUUUCAGGGCUGACCUGCAGCAGAGACACCUACAUAUAAGCAUAAACUUGAGAAAGCAAUGAGCACCCAGGGGAGACGGGGCUGCCGCUUGGGCUUGCUACUUACCAGUGCUGUGUGAACUUUAAGAUGUGCCUGUAGCUUAUAUUUAUCUGGAGUUGAGUAGUCACAGCCAUCGGUGGGACACUUCAGCAAGAUGUUACUGUGUUUCUGAAUUACGUGGCGUUUAAGGCAGUUUUUGGUGAUGGAAGAAUAAUGACACUGAGAGCAAUAAUACAGAUGUUCCCGGGUGUGGGUGCGGACAUGCAUAUCAAAAUGCACUUGGUACCAAAAAAGUUUGCCUAAAAAAAUAUUUUCACAUG